GACGAACGCUGGCGGCGUGCCUAACACAUGCAAGUCGAGCGAUGAAGCCCUUCGGGGUGGAUUAGCGGCGGACGGGUGAGUAACACGUGGGUAACCUGCCUCAAAGAGGGGGAUAGCCUCCCGAAAGGGAGAUUAAUACCGCAUAAUAUUAGUUUUUCGCAUGAAGAACUAAUUAAAGGAGUAAUCCGCUUUGAGAUGGACCCGCGGCGCAUUAGCUAGUUGGUGUGGUAAAGGCUCACCAAGGCGACGAUGCGUAGCCGACCUGAGAGGGUGAUCGGCCACAUUGGAACUGAGACACGGUCCAGACUCCUACGGGAGGCAGCAGUGGGGAAUAUUGCACAAUGGGCGAAAGCUUGAUGCAGCAACGCCGCGUGAGUGAUGAAGGCCUUCGGGUUGUAAAGCUCUGUCUUUUGGGACGAUAAUGACGGUACCAAAGGAGGAAGCCACGGCUAACUACGUGCCAGCCGCCGCAGUAACAC
rnacentral:rRNA from 1 species